GACGAACGCUGGCGGCGUGCUUAACACAUGCAAGUCGAACGGAAAGGCCCUGCAUUUGUGGGGUGCUCGAGUGGCGAACGGGUGAGUAACACGUGAGUAACCUGCCCUUGACUUUGGGAUAACUUCAGGAAACUGGGGCUAAUACCGGAUAGGAGCUCCUGCUGCAUGGUGGGGGUUGGAAAGUUUCGGCGGUUGGGGUUGGACUCGCGGCUUAUCAGCUUGUUGGUGGGGUAGUGGCUUACCAAGGCUUUGACGGGUAGCCGGCCUGAGAGGGUGACCGGCCACAUUGGGACUGAGAUACGGCCCAGACUCCUACGGGAGGCAGCAGUGGGGAAUAUUGCACAAUGGGCGGAAGCCUGAUGCAGCAACGCCGCGUGCGGGAUGACGGCCUUCGGGUUGUAAACCGCUUUCGCCUGUGACGAAGCGUGAGUGACGGUAAUGGGUAAAGAAGCACCGGCUAACUACGUG
rnacentral:rRNA from 1 species